rnacentral:rRNA from 1 species
AAGCUCGUAGUUGAAUUUCGGGAUUAGUACGUCGGUCGUGCCUUAGGUACGUACUGGUGUUACUGGUCUCACCUUCUGACGAACCAUCAUGUCAUUAAUUUGGUGUGGUGGGGAUCAGGACUGUUACUUUGAAAAAAUUAGAGUGUUUAAAGCAGGCUCGCGCUUGAAUACAUUAGCAUGGAAUAAUGAAAUAGGACGUUGAUCCUAUUUUGUUGGUUUCUGGGAUUGACGUAAUGAUUAAAGGAG